rnacentral:rRNA from 1 species
GAUGAACGCUGGCGGUAUGCUUAACACAUGCAAGUCGAACGGACUCUUCGGAGUUAGUGGCGGACGGGUGAGUAACGCGUGAGAAUCUGGCUUUGGGUUCGGGACAACCACUGGAAACGGUGGCUAAUACCGGAUGUGCCGAGAGGUAAAAGAGAAAUUGCCUGAAGAUGAGCUCGCGUCUGAUUAGCUAGUUGGUGAGGUAAAGGCUCACCAAGGCAGCGAUCAGUAGCUGGUCUGAGAGGAUGACCAGCCACACUGGGACUGAGACACGGCCCAGACUCCUACGGGAGGAAGCAGUGGAGAAUUUUCCGCAAUGGGCGAAAGCCUGACGGAGCAAUACCGCGUGAGGGAAGAAGGCUCUUGGGUUGUAAACCUCUUUUCUUAGGGAAGAACAAAAUGACGGUACCUAAGGAAUCAGCAUCGGCUAACUCCGUG